rnacentral:rRNA from 1 species
ACGGAGGGAGCUAGCGUUGUUCGGAAUUACUGGGCGUAAAGCGCGCGUAGGCGGCUAUUUAAGUCAGAGGUGAAAUCCCGGGGCUCAACCCCGGAACUGCCUUUGAAACUAGAUGGCUAGAAUCCUGGAGAGGCGAGUGGAAUUCCGAGUGUAGAGGUGAAAUUCGUAGAUAUUCGGAAGAACACCAGUGGCGAAGGCGACUCGCUGGACAGGUAUUGACGCUGAGGUGCGAAAGCGUGGGGAGCAAACAG